UGUGAUUAUUUUCUUUGAAAUCGUUUUUAUUUAAUUUGUUAUUAGUUUAUUAUUAUUUCUUUGAAAUUGUUGAAGUUAUACAAAAAUUUACUUUGUCAAAAGAAAUCAAAUGUGUUCUCUCUCAGUUAAAUUCUAACCUCAAUAAACAUCAGAUUUUUAUUUGAUUUUUAAUCAAAUUAAACUUUAAGUUUAAUAUGAAAUACUAUCAGUGAAGUUGAUGUUAUUGCGAAUAUUAUUUUGUUGCUAAAGGUUAGAAAAUUCUAAAUCGUUUACAUUUAAAAAGUGCUGAUGUUGCUGAUAAAGAUGCAUGGUUUUGGGUUGAAACAAUUUUACCGGAAAGUAUUGAAAGAGAACACUUAGAAUUUUAAUAUAGAGUGAAUUUAAAUAUAUGAAAACAUUGUAAGAGGAAUUACAGUUAUAAUCCAAAAUGUUUGGUUGGCUUAGGCGAAGAAAAAUAUUUAAAAUCACAGCCAAUCAAAGUGGCUUCUCUUGACAGUUCUCUUUCAGAACUUAGAGAUCCAAUUCAAUAUGUAGGCCUGAAAAAUUUGGGUGCUACUUGAUAUAUUAAUAGUUUAAUUCAAGUUUGGUUUCAUAAUGAAGAUAUGAGGCAAAUUAUAUACAAAUGAAAAAUGAUGGAAGAUCCAGAAGAAAAUGCACGCACAAAGUGCAUACCAGCUACAGCUGCUGAAUUACUUUUUACAAAAUAUAACGGUGGUCCAAGACUCGACAAUAAUUCAUUAUGCGAAAUUUGUGUUAAAAAAACGAUGUAAGAUAUUUAAAUUUGAGUCAGAACUAGACAAAAAUCGAAAAGAAGUUACAAAAAUAAUGAGACGGGCGAGAGAUUGUACAGUAAAUUGUUAUAUCGUUGGUGCUGCUUUGAUAAAAUAUUGGCCUAGACUUGUUGUAGAAAAUAUGGAACUUAAAGAUUCACAUCAAGAUUAUAAUGAUUUUGAAGUUCGUAGAACUGGAAAUAGAAUAAAAGUGCUACAUGGAGUAUUUUGAAAAAAUACUUUCCUUUGGCUAUGGAAUAUUCUAUUGGUACUCCAUCCUGUGAAAUUUGUGAAGAAAAUGAAAGGAAAAGAAAUGAAAAAAGAGAACUUAAGAAGAUUUUUCAAAUUUUCAUUAUAUCUGAAUUUCUGUGAUUACAUCAGAAGACAAAAGUCAUAUGAAGCUUGUACAUUUUUAAUUUAAAUAUUGUUAUAAAAAAAUUAUGAUAAGAGUUCAACAUGCGAUAUCAAUGCAUUUUUCUUCAAACUUGACAAAUGGUUGUAUUUAUAAAAAUGUCGCAUAGUGUCGCAUUUAUCCAAGAUGUAAUCUGUUAUGUCACGCAUUGUCUUCCAUAAAAUACUACCGAUUUACAUUA